UUGCAAGGUCAAGUGAAGAAGGGCGCACGGUGAAUGCCUUGGCACUGGAAGCCGAUGAAGGACGCGACUAACCGCGAAAGUCUUCGGGGAGCCGUAAGUAGGCUUUGAUCCGGAGGUCUCCGAAUGGGGGAACCCAGCAUGUGCAGACAUGCUAUCCUUAAGUGAAUNNNNNNNNNNNNNNNNNNNNNNNNNNNNNNNNNNNNNNNNNNNNNNNNNNNNNNNNNNNNNNACGCGCCAGAGAGGGUGAGAGCCCCGUAAGCGAAAUCCAAAGAAGGCCUAUCAGUAUCCUGAGUAGGGCGGGACACGUGAAAUCCCGUUUGAAUCCGCGAGGACCAUCUCGCAAGGCUAAAUACUAACCAGUGACCGAUAGUGAACCAGUACCGUGAGGGAAAGGUGAAAAGAACCCCGGGAGGGGAGUGAAAGAGAACCUGAAACCGUGUGCCUACAAGUAGUCAGAGCCCGUUAACGGGUAAUGGCGUGCCUUUUGUAGAAUGAACCGGCGAGUUGCGUUAGUCAGCAAGGUUAAGUCAGAAAAGACGGAGCCGCAGCGAAAGCGAGUCUGAAUAGGGCGAGCAGUUGGCUGACGCAGACCCGAAACCAAGUGACCUACCCAUGACCAGGUUGAAGGCGCGGUAAAACGCGCUGGAGGACCGAACCCACGUAAGUUGAAAAUUGCGGGGAUGAGUUGUGGGUAGCGGUGAAAUUCCAAACGAACUUGGAGAUAGCUGGUUCUCUCCGAAAUAGCUUUAGGGCUAGCCUCGCAAAGAGGAUGCUGGAGGUAGAGCUCUGUUUGGACUAGGGGCCCGUCAAGGGUUACUGAAUUCAGAUAAACUGCGAAUUCCAGACAUUUAUGUGCGGGAGUCAGACUGCGAGUGAUAAGAUCCGUAGUCGAAAGGGAAACAGCCCAGAUCACCAGUUAAGGUCCCAAAAUUCAUGCUAAGUGGAAAAGGAUGUGGAGUUGCGCAGACAACUAGGACGUUGGCUCAGAAGCAGCCAUCAUUCAAAGAGUGCGUAAUAGCUCACUAGUCGAGUGACGCCGCGCCGAAAAUUUACCGGGGCUAAGCAUGAUACCGAAACUGUGGAUGUGCAUUUAUGCACGUGGUAGGAGAGCGUUCUAGCGGCGGUGAAGCAUGACCGAGAGGACAUGUGGAGCUUCUAGAAGUGAGAAUGCCGGUAUGAGUAACGAAAGACAGGUGAGAAUCCUGUCCGCCGCAAGACUAAGGUUUCCUGGGGCAGGCUCGUCCGCCCAGGGUAAGUCGGGACCUAAGGCGAGGCCGAGAGGCGUAGUCGAUGGACAACAGGUUGAAAUUCCUGUACUGCACCGAAUCGUUAUGAGCGAUGGAGGGACGCAGGAGGCUAGCAGCGCGUGGUGCUGGAUACCACGUUCAAGCGUCAAGUCUGAGAGCGAGUCAAAUGCUUGCUCUCAUAAGGACAAGGCGUGAUGAGGAGCGAAAUUAAAGUAGCGAAGGCUGCGACGUCACACUGCCGAGAAAAGCUUCUNGACGCAGGAGGCUAGCAGCGCGUGGUGCUGGAUACCACGUUCAAGCGUCAAGUCUGAGAGCGAGUCAAAUGCUUGCUUUCAUAAGGACAAGGCGUGAUGAGGAGCGAAAUUAAAGUAGCGAAGGCUGCGACGUCACACUGCCGAGAAAAGCUUCUNNNNNNNNNNNNNNNNNNNNNNNNNNNNNNNNNNNUCAUAAGGACAAGGCGUGAUGAGGAGCGAAAUUAAAGUAGCGAAGGCUGCGACGUCACACUGCCGAGAAAAGCUUCUAGCCAGAAACGGUGCACCCGUACCGCAAACCGACACAGGUAGUCGAGGAGAGUAUCCUCAGGUGAGCGAGAGAACUCUCGUUAAGGAACUCGGCAAAAUGGCCCCGUAACUUCGGGAGAAGGGGCGCUGGUCGCAAGAUCAGCCGCAGUGAAAAGGCCCAAGCAACUGUUUAUCAAAAACACAGGCAUCUGCAAAAUCGUAAGAUGAAGUAUAGGUGCUGACACCUGCCCGGUGCUGGAAGGUUAAGAGGAGAGCUUAGCGCAAGCGAAGGUUUGAAUUGAAGCCCCAGUAAACGGCGGCCGUAACUAUAACGGUCCUAAGGUAGCGAAAUUCCUUGUCGGGUAAGUUCCGACCUGCACGAAAGGUGUAAUGAUUUGGGCACUGUCUCAACGAGAGACUCGGUGAAAUUAUAAUACCCGUGAAGAUGCGGGUUACCCGCGACAGGACGGAAAGACCCCAUGGAGCUUUACUGCAGUUUAAUAUUGGGUAUCUGUCAAGCAUGUACAGGAUAGGUAGGAGCCGGAGAAGAUAGGACGCCAGUCUUAUCGGAGGCGCUGUUGGGAUACUACCCUUGCUUGACGGAUNNNGAUAGGUAGGAGCCGGAGAAGAUAGGACGCCAGUCUUAUCGGAGGCGCUGUUGGGAUACUACCCUUGCUUGACGGAUGCUCUAACUCAGGCCUGUGAACCAGGCCGAGGACAGUGUUUGACGGGCAGUUUGACUGGGGCGGUCGCCUCCUAAAGU
rnacentral:rRNA from 1 species